GACGAACGCUGGCGGCGUGCCUAAUACAUGCAAGUAGAACGCUGAAGAGAGGAGCUUGCUCUUCUUGGAUGAGUUGCGAACGGGUGAGUAACGCGUAGGUAACCUGCCUUGUAGCGGGGGAUAACUAUUGGAAACGAUAGCUAAUACCGCAUAACAAUGGAUGACACAUGUCAUUUAUUUGAAAGGGGCAAUUGCUCCACUACAAGAUGGACCUGCGUUGUAUUAGCUAGUAGGUGAGGUAAUGGCUCACCUAGGCGACGAUACAUAGCCGACCUGAGAGGGUGAUCGGCCACACUGGGACUGAGACACGGCCCAGACUCCUACGGGAGGCAGCAGUAGGGAAUCUUCGGCAAUGGGGGCAACCCUGACCGAGCAACGCCGCGUGAGUGAAGAAGGUUUUCGGAUCGUAAAGCUCUGUUGUAAGUCAAGAACGGGUGUGAGAGUGGAAAGUUCACACUGUGACGGUAGCUUACCAGAAAGGGACGGCUAACUACGUGCCAGCAGCCGCGGUAAUACGUAGGUCCCGAGCGUUGUCCGGAUUUAUUGGGCGUAAAGCGAGCGCAGGCGGUUUGAUAAGUCUGAAGUUAAAGGCUGUGGCUCAACCAUAGUUCGCUUUGGAAACUGUCAAACUUGAGUGCAGAAGGGGAGAGUGGAAUUCCAUGUGUAGCGGUGAAAUGCGUAGAUAUAUGGAGGAACACCGGUGGCGAAAGCGGCUCUCUGGUCUGUAACUGACGCUGAGGCUCGAAAGCGUGGGGAGCGAACAGGAUUAGAUACCCUGGUAGUCCACGCCGUAAACGAUGAGUGCUAGGUGUUGGAUCCUUUCCGGGAUUCAGUGCCGCAGCUAACGCAUUAAGCACUCCGCCUGGGGAGUACGACCGCAAGGUUGAAACUCAAAGGAAUUGACGGGGGCCCGCACAAGCGGUGGAGCAUGUGGUUUAAUUCGAAGCAACGCGAAGAACCUUACCAGGUCUUGACAUCCCGAUGCUAUUUCUAGAGAUAGAAAGUUACUUCGGUACAUCGGUGACAGGUGGUGCAUGGUUGUCGUCAGCUCGUGUCGUGAGAUGUUGGGUUAAGUCCCGCAACGAGCGCAACCCCUAUUGUUAGUUGCCAUCAUUCAGUUGGGCACUCUAGCGAGACUGCCGGUAAUAAACCGGAGGAAGGUGGGGAUGACGUCAAAUCAUCAUGCCCCUUAUGACCUGGGCUACACACGUGCUACAAUGGUUGGUACAACGAGUUGCGAGUCGGUGACGGCGAGCUAAUCUCUUAAAGCCAAUCUCAGUUCGGAUUGUAGGCUGCAACUCGCCUACAUGAAGUCGGAAUCGCUAGUAAUCGCGGAUCAGCACGCUGCGGUGAACACGUUCCCGGGCCU
rnacentral:rRNA from 1 species